rnacentral:rRNA from 1 species
UUCCGAACACGGAAGUUAAGCCUUCCAGGGCCGAUGGUACUGCAUGGGUGACUGUGUGGGAGAGUAGGACGCCGCGGGAU